rnacentral:lncRNA from 1 species
AUCAUUGAGCUUAGUCCUCACCACGAAUAUUAGGAGCUUUGUCCUCCGCACGUUUUAUAGGAGCUUUGUCCUCCGCACGAUUAAAGUAUAUUAAUACUUAUGAUGACGAUUGGUACCACAUGCAUAUAAGGAGUCUAAGAGCAUUGUCACAUUGUCAUGAUUAAGAUGCCUUGUUGAUAAUGAUUGAAUAUGUGAUUACGUGAUAAGUGUUAUUUGAUAUGUUAUGUUAUUCCUAAUUAUUGGAUAUACGAUUACGUGAUAACUGUUUAGCAAUUAUGCAAAGUUAAUAAUGGAAUGAUUAUGAUGUUAAUUUAUGAUUCUCAAUUACAUUGAUUAAUGUUAUUGUAUUAUGAAAUCUCACCCCUUCUGCUUGAAAAUGUUGCCCUUCGUAUGGGUAACUUGCAGGUGAUCGUGCUUAGUGUGCAGUUGCCGUCGUGAGUGGCCUUGCCUUCACUGUGUCGUCUAGGUCGCUCUGAUACGUAACGGGAUGGGGUUAUAUGCUAUAACAUGCUUCAUUCUCUUACGUGGAUAAUAUGUUAUUUUUAUUAUGUUAUGGAAUUUGAACUAUUUUGAUGGGGCCUACGUGCCAAAUUGAUUAUGAUUUUUGAAUUAAUAUUCCGCUGCUAUGUUAAAGAUAUUUGUGAAGGUUAAAUUAUUAUUUAACUGUUUUUGGAUUACGUUUCUAUGUGAUAUCCCGUUUAUGGCUUUUACUCUGAUAAAUGUUUAAGAAAUUUGUAUAUUGGGAAAACGGGGUGUUACAAUUGGUAUCAGAGCAGGUCGAUCCGUCCGGUCAAUUAGAGAGUCGUGUCGAGUCUUAGUAAUAUUUAUAUUACUAUCUUAUGUUGUUGUUGCUACUUUUGUAGAAUCUCGGAAAUGGCUGGAAGAAACGAUGCUGCGUUAGCUGCUGCUCUACAAGCUGUUGCCCAAGCUGUGGGACAACAACCUAACGUGAAUGCUGGUGCGAAUGCUGAAGCUAGGAUGUUGGAGACGUUCAUGAAGAAGAACCCUCCGACUUUCAAAGGACGUUAUGACCCUGAUGGAGCCCAGACGUGGCUUAAGGAGAUUGAGAGGAUUUUCCGGGUUAUGCAGUGCACGGAGGAUCAGAAAGUGCGAUUUGGUACUCAUCAGCUGGCCGAGGAAGCUGAUGACUGGUGGGUUGCUCUUCUGCCUACCCUUGGGCAGGAGGGAGCUGUUGUGACUUGGGCUGUUUUCAGGAGAGAGUUCCUGAGAAGAUACUUUCCGGAAGAUGUUCGCGGGAAGAAAGAGAUCGAAUUCCUUGAGCUGAAGCAAGGAAAUAUGUCCGUGACAGAGUAUGCUGCCAAGUUCGUGGAGCUGUCUAAGUUCUAUCCGCACUAUACUGCUGAGAAUGCUGAGUUCUCGAGAUGCAUCAAGUUCGAGAACGGUUUGAGGCCCGACAUUAAGAGGGCGAUUGGGUACCAACAGCUGAGAGUUUUUCAGGACUUGGUUAAUAGCUGCAGGAUCUACGAAGAGGAUACGAAGGCUCACUACAAGGUAGUGAAUGAAAGGAAGGGCAAGGGACAGCAGAGUCGUCCUAAGCCGUACAGUGCCCCUGCUGAUAAAGGGAAACAGAAGAUGGUCGAUGUUAGGCGGCCUAAGAAGAAGGAUGCUGCAGAGAUUGUGUGUUUCAAUUGUGGUGAGAAAGGCCACAAAAGCAACGUCUGCCCUGAGGAAAUCAAGAAGUGUGUCCGGUGUGGCAAGAAAGGUCAUGUUGUAGCUGAUUGCAAUCGUACAGACAUUGUUUGCUUUAAUUGCAACGGAGAGGGUCACAUUAGUUCACAGUGUACUCAGCCUAAGAGGGCGCCGACUACUGGUAGGGUCUUUGCUUUGACUGGGACUCAGACAGAGAAUGAGGAUCGUUUGAUCAGAGGUACUUGCUAUAUUAAUAAUACUCCUUUAGUUGCUAUUAUUGAUACUGGUGCUACGCAUUGCUUUAUUGCUUUCGAUUGUGUUUCUGCUUUGGGUCUUGAGUUGUCUGAUAUGAAUGGAGAGAUGGUUGUCGAAACUCCAGCUAAGGGUUCGGUGACUACUUCUCUAGUAUGUUUGAAAUGUCCUUUGUCUAUGUUUGGUCGUGAUUUUGAAAUGGAUUUAGUUUGUCUACCUUUGAGUGGUAUGGAUGUGAUUUUGGGUAUGAACUGGUUAGAGUACAACCACGUUCUUAUUAAUUGUUUUAGCAAGUCAGUACAUUUCUCUUCCGUCGAAGAGGAAAGUGGUGCAGAGUUUUUAUCUACUAAGCAGCUGAAGCAACUGGAACGCGACGGUAUCUUGAUGUUUUCGUUAAUGGCUACUUUAUCUAUUGAGAAUCAAGCAGUGAUUGAUAGGUUACCGGUGGUGUGUGAAUUUCCUGAAGUUUUUCCAGAUGAGAUUCCUGAUGUGCCUCCAGAGAGAGAAGUUGAGUUUUCUAUUGAUCUUGUUCCUGGAACGAAGCCGGUCUCGAUGGCACCUUAUCGUAUGUCUGCUUCUGAGUUAUCUGAGUUGAAGAAACAGUUGGAAGACUUGCUUGAGAAGAAGUUUGUUAGACCGAGUGUUUCACCUUGGGGAGCGCCGGUUUUGUUAGUAAAGAAGAAAGAUGGUAGUAUGCGGUUGUGUAUUGAUUAUCGACAGUUGAACAAGGUAACUAUCAAGAAUAGGUAUCCACUUCCGAGAAUUGAUGAUUUGAUGGAUCAGCUAGUGGGUGCACGAGUUUUCAGCAAGAUUGAUUUGAGAUCAGGUUAUCACCAGAUUAAAGUAAAGGAUGAAGAUAUGCAGAAGACAGCUUUCAGAACGCGUUAUGGUCACUAUGAAUAUAAAGUUAUGCCUUUUGGAGUUACCAAUGCACCUGGAGUGUUUAUGGAGUAUAUGAAUCGCAUCUUCCAUGCAUUUCUGGAUCGGUUUGUGGUUGUGUUUAUCGACGAUAUUUUGAUUUACUCCAAGACUGAAGAAGAACAUGCCGAGCAUCUGAAGAUUGUUUUGCAAGUGUUGAAAGAGAAGAAACUUUAUGCCAAAUUGUCUAAGUGUGAAUUUUGGUUGAAAGAAGUGAGUUUUCUAGGCCAUGUUAUUUCUGGUGAUGGAAUUGCAGUGGAUCCGUCUAAAGUCGAAGCUGUAUCGCAAUGGGAUACUCCUAAGUCAGUUACUGAGAUUAGAAGUUUCUUGGGUUUAGCUGGUUACUAUAGAAGGUUUAUUGAAGGGUUUUCUAAGUUAGCUCUUCCGCUAACGCAGUUGACUUGUAAAGGUAAAACUUUUGUGUGGGACGUCCAUUGUGAGAAAAGUUUCGGUGAAUUGAAGAAGCGUUUGACGACCGCUCCAGUGUUAAUUUUGCCGAAAUCAGAUGAACCUUUUGUGGUCUAUUGUGAUGCGUCCAAGUUGGGUUUAGGAGGUGUACUUAUGCAGGAAGGUAAAGUGGUAGCUUAUGCUUCAAGACAGUUGAGGGUUCAUGAGAAGAAUUAUCCUACGCAUGAUCUCGAGUUGGCGGCCGUAGUCUUUGUAUUGAAGAUAUGGAGACAUUACUUGUAUGGUUCGAGAUUUGAAGUGUUUAGUGAUCACAAGAGUUUGAAGUAUUUGUUCGAUCAGAAGGAAUUGAAUAUGAGGCAGCGAAGAUGGCUCGAAUUGUUGAAGGAUUAUGACUUUGGUUUGAAUUAUCAUCCAGGUAAAGCUAAUGUUGUUGCAGAUGCCUUGAGUAGGAAGACAUUGCAUAUGUCCGCCAUGAUGGUCAGAGAGUUCGAAUUGCUUGAACAGUUUAGAGAUAUGAGUUUGGUUUGCGAAUGGUCACCUCAGAGUGUGAAACUGGGUAUGCUGAAGAUUGAUAGUGAAUUUCUGAAAAGUAUCAAGGAAGCACAGAAAGUUGAUGUAAAGUUUGUGGACUUGUUGGUUGCUAGAGAUCAGACUGAAGACAGUGAUUUUAAAAUCGAUGAUCAAGGUGUGUUGAGAUUCCGAGGAAGAAUUUGUAUCCCAGACAAUGAAGAGAUUAAGAAGAUGAUUCUUGAGGAGAGUCAUAGAAGUAGCUUGAGUAUUCAUCCGGGAGCUACGAAGAUGUAUCAUGAUCUAAAGAAGAUUUUCUGGUGGUCUGGUUUGAAACGAGAUGUGGCACAGUUUGUGUAUUCCUGUUUAGUUUGUCAGAAGUCGAAAGUUGAGCAUCAGAAACCUGCUGGGAUGAUGGUACCUUUAGAUGUGCCAGAAUGGAAAUGGGAUAGUAUAUCGAUGGAUUUUGUGACGAGUUUGCCGAAUACUCCGAGAGGGAGCGACGCAAUUUGGGUUAUUGUUGAUAGGUUGACGAAGUCAGCUCAUUUUCUACCUAUUAAUAUUAGUUUCCCUGUUGCCCAGUUGGCAGAGAUUUACAUCAAAGAGAUUGUGAAGCUGCAUGGUGUUCCUUCGAGAAUUGUAUCAGAUAGAGAUCCAAGAUUUACUUCUAGAUUUUGGAAAAGUUUGCAAGAGGCUUUGGGUUCGAAGUUGAGAUUGAGUUCGGCGUAUCAUCCACAGACAGAUGGUCAGUCGGAGAGGACAAUUCAGUCGCUAGAGGAUUUGUUGAGAAUUUGUGUUCUUGAGCAAGGAGGAACUUGGGAUAGUCAUCUUCCGUUGAUCGAGUUCACUUAUAAUAAUAGUUAUCAUUCUAGUAUUGGAAUGGCACCGUUCGAGGCUUUGUAUGGUCGGAGAUGCAGAACUCCGUUGUGUUGGUUUGAAUCAGGAGAAAGAGUGGUCUUAGGACCAGAGAUUGUUCAGCAAACUACUGAGAAAGUUCAGAUGAUCCAAGAGAAAAUGAAGGCGUCGCAGAGUCGACAAAAGAGUUAUCAUGAUAAGCGUAGAAAAGAUCUUGAAUUUCAGGAAGGAGACCACGUGUUUUUGAGAGUCACUCCUAUGACUGGCGUAGGACGUGCUUUGAAGUCAAAGAAGUUGACCCCGAAGUUCAUUGGUCCGUAUCAGAUAUUGGAAAGAGUUGGAACGGUGGCUUACCGAGUGGGUUUACCGCCGCAUCUUGCGAAUUUGCACAACGUUUUCCAUGUGUCGCAACUUCGAAAGUAUGUUCCGGAUCCAUCUCAUGUAAUCCAAAGCGACGAUGUGCAAGUUAGAGACAACCUUACGGUAGAAACUUUACCGUUAAGGAUUGAUGAUCGUAAAGUGAAGACGUUGAGGGGCAAAGAGAUACCUCUCGUGAGAGUCGUUUGGUCGGGAGCGACUGGUGAAAGCUUGACGUGGGAGCUUGAGAGUAAGAUGCUGGAGUCUAAUCCAGAGUUGUUUGCUUGAGGUAAAUUUUCGAGUACGAAAAUCUUUUAAGUGGGGGAGAGUUGUAACGCCCACUUUCGUUUAAUCGUUGAUUUAAUUGAGUUUAGGCAAUUAUAUUAUAAUUAUAUAGUAUAUGCAUGAUUUUGGUAUGUUUUGAUGACUUGAUUGAUGACGUGAUAAGUUAUGAGUUUUGGAGGAUUUGAUUAUGAUAUGAGAUUUAUUUUAUUGUUAAAUAGAAUAAAGAUUUGAAAAUAAUAUAAAAUAUUUAGUUGAGGGCUGUUUUGAUAUUUUAGAUAGUUUUGGGGGAGAAAUUGAGAUAAGAUAAGUAAUUAGGAAGAGAUAUAAAUAGAGAAGACCUAAUUGUUAGAAAAACUGAUUGUACGUGAAAACUUUUGGAAAAGGGAGAAAAGCUUAGAGAGGAGCAAGAGACCAAGAGGGCUGCGAUUUUCUUCAUAACCAGGUAAGGGUGGGACUAAUAACUCAGUAGCAUUAACCUCUGUAAUUCUGAUGAUUAGUUGACAAAGUUAGGAUUGAUUUAGAGAAGUUUUGGAAUUAGGUCAAAACCCUAAAAAUUGAGAAUAAACGGUAAAACUUGUUUAGAUUGAUGUAAGAAUUGUCCUGUAACCUUAGAAUAUGUUUAGGAUGAAUUCUGGAAUCAAAACCAAGCUUAGAACCAUGUGAAACGUCGGAUUUUUGUGAUUUUAGGAAACCUGGCCGUAGCGACAUUCAUCGCUCGCCACGGCGAGCUAUGAUCCUCGCCUCACGAGUGAUGAAGAUUCAUCGCUCGCCACGCGAGCCUUUCCCCUUCGCCUCGCGAGUUGUCUGGUGCAACUCGCCAUGGCGAGCAACCUUUCCUCGCCUCGCGAGCUUAGGCAGAGAGCAUGUCAUAUUUCGUGUUUCGACCUUUUUAGUUGAACCUUGUAUGCCUUUGAGUACCUGAACAUACCUAGUAUUGAUUAGGAAUGAUUUUAGGACAGGAUUGAACCCAGAACAACAUCAGUUUGGGAGAUUAGUGUUACUCGCCAUGGCGAGUAAGGACUCUCGCCUCGCGAGUACAACCAGAAUGUAGUUGCUUGAGUGUUUGUGCGAUCUGUGUCGCAUGUGUUGAUCAGGAGUGAACCCCUAAUUGGUAUUGAGACCUAGUGAUGACGUUUAAUGCAGCCUGUAGAGUUGUUUUAAAUUAUAUUGAUAUUAAUUGAGCAUGAACUAAUGUAUUGUAUAUUCAUGCAAGAUAUGAAGGUUUGAUAAUAAUGCAAUUUAUGUGCUAUUGAUAUAAUGAUAUCAUCUUGAUAUGUGACUUGUUUAUGCUGCUUCCGUUAUUUAACUAAGUGCAUAUGUAUAUGAUAAGGUUUAGCUCCAAAUUAUUGGAUGCAUGUUGAUUACGAUGAUUACGUGUUUUGUUCAUAAGUGUCCAUGCAUAGCAUAUCAUUGAGCUUAGUCCUCACCACGAAUAUGAGGAGCUUUGUCCUCUGCACGUUUUAUAGGAGCUUUGUCCUCCGCACGAUUAAAGUAUAUUAAUACUUAUGAUGACGAUUGGUACCACAUGCAUAUAAGGAGUCUAAGAGCAUUGUCACAUUGUCAUGAUUAAGAUGCCUUGUUGAUAAUGAUUGAAUAUGUGAUUACGUGAUAAGUGUUAUUUGAUAUGUUAUGUUAUUCCUAAUUAUUGGAUAUACGAUUACGUGAUAACUGUUUAGCAAUUAUGCAAAGUUAAUAAUGGAAUGAUUAUGAUGUUAAUUUAUGAUUCUCAAUUACAUUGAUUAAUGUUAUUGUAUUAUGAAAUCUCACCCCUUCUGCUUGAAAAUGUUGCCCUUCGUAUGGGUAACUUGCAGGUGAUCGUGC